CACGUAGGGCGCGAGCGUUGUCCGGAAUUAUUGGGCGUAAAGAGCUCGUAGGCGGCCUGCUGCGUCCGCUGUGAAAGCCCGGGGCUUAACCCCGGGUCGGCAGUGGAUACGGGCAGGCUAGAGGUAGGUAGGGGAGAAUGGAAUUCCCGGUGUAGCGGUGAAAUGCGCAGAUAUCGGGAGGAACACCGGUGGCGAAGGCGGUUCUCUGGGCCUUACCUGACGCUGAGGAGCGAAAGCGUGGGGAGCGAACAGG
rnacentral:rRNA from 1 species